rnacentral:lncRNA from 1 species
CUGUUGUGUGGCCCAGACAGGGCACUGUCUGUGGCCCCAGGGGUUGAGGACCCCUGGCUUUAACAACAGAAAGGGAGGGAAUUGGGAUCUGAAGACGUUGCAUUCGAGGUCUCGGGGCUCCUGAUGAGCAGCCUCGGCCUGACCUGGGGCAGGUGUGAUGUCUGCGGCUCACCAUCUCCACCCUGCCUGCUGUGGAAUCUCCACAACGACAGGUGCUUUGGAGGCCAGAGUGCAUGCGUACGGGCCCUGCACACGCUGAAUGUCACUGGGAACAAGGACACACCCCGCUUCCAGGAGAAGAUAGAACAUGUCGACCCCUUUUAGCCAUCCCCAGUGCAGGACAUGCUAUUGACUUCCAUGAGACAAACACCUACUUGGAAAUCAGGUUUUUUCUGUACCUUUUGAAGGAGCAGGAAUUUCCCAGCAUUUCCUGGACAAAGACGGAGGCCACAUUCGCUGCAUCCUUUCCAGCAAGAUGUCAUUCUGAGAUUUUUGUCAUUCCUGGGCGUUAUGAGGACUGCCAAGGGACACAAUUCCAUGGGAGGAAAGUUUUCUUCUAAGCUGCAAGCCAGCUCUGGCUUCUGGAGUUUCUCCUUAGGAUUGCAAGACAGUAGUUCCCUGUCCUUUAGGUCUUCUCCAGAAAUACCUUAAAAUAGCAAAUAAAAUAAGAUAUAAGCAAACAAAACCUGAAGUUAAC